rnacentral:lncRNA from 1 species
CAAUACGCACAUUAAAAUUCAGUUCAAGAGAAGUCCGAGUCUGAUGUCAGAAGAUGUAACCAAAGAAAAUAAACAAAAUGACAAUAAUAAAUAAAUAACAACAGACUACUAGCAGUUAACUGACAUGCCAGCUCCAGACUUCAAUUAAACUGACUGAAAGAUUAUGAUUUCAUCAUAUGAACAUCAGGCACAAUCCUUCCCGUUAGGGGUUUAGUAUCAUACCAUCAUAACAUAUGAGAAGAACAUAACCCGUGUCAUGCCAACAACUGGUUUUUGAAUAAAUGUGUUUAGUUCCGAUGCAAAGACCCUAUAAGUGAAUCAAUAUUAACGCC